GUCCCUUCGCGGACAUCCGAUAAAAUUUUAACAAUACAGAGAAAAUUAACAUGGCCCCUGCACAAGGAUGAACGGACAAAAAUAAAUAAACUUUCACAAAUACAU